AUUGAACGCUGGCGGCAGGCCUAACACAUGCAAGUCGAACGAGUGGCGGACGGGUGAGUAAUGUCUGGGAAACUGCCUGAUGGAGGGGGAUAACUAAUGGAAACGGUAGCUAAUACCGCAUACCAUCGGAUGUGCCCAGAUGGGAUUAGCUAGUAGGUGGGGUAAAGGCUCACCUAGGCGACGAUCCCUAGCUGGUCUGAGAGGAUGACCGUCCACACUGGUACUGAGACCCGGUCCGGACUCCUACGUAAGUCAGCAGUGGGGAAUAUUGCACAAUGGGCGCAAGCCUGAAGCAGCCAUGCCGCGUGUAUGAAGAAGGCCUUCGUGUUGUAAAGUACUUUCAGCGGGGAGGCGUUACCCUCAGAAGAAGCACCGGCUAACUCCGUGCCAGCAGCCGCGGUAAUAC
rnacentral:rRNA from 1 species